GUGGAAUUGGAGUGAAGCCCAGUUGGCAGAAACCCGUAAUACCAGACUUGUGUUGGAGUAAUAGAUUAUAUUCUCAAGUUUGGUAUGACCGGUCUCUGCAACUGUUGGCUCUGACAUCUGAUCAGA
rnacentral:precursor_RNA from 10 species